UAAUACGGAGGGGGCUAGCGUUGUUCGGAAUUACUGGGCGUAAAGCGCACGUAGGCGGCUUUGUAAGUUAGAGGUGAAAGCCCGGGGCUCAACUCCGGAAUUGCCUUUAAGACUGCAUCGCUAGAAUUGUGGAGAGGUAAGUGGAAUUCCGAGUGUAGAGGUGAAAUUCGUAGAUAUUCGGAAGAACACCAGUGGCGAAGGCG
rnacentral:rRNA from 1 species